rnacentral:sRNA from 1 species
CAGAAUUGGAGGCAAUUCAAAGAAAUUCAGCAUCCCAAAAGAGUGUCAUUGUCUCUCAGUGGACCAACAUGCUGAAAGUUGUAGCAUUGCACCUUAAGAAGCAUGGACUGACUUAUGCCACCAUCGAUGGCUCUGUCAACCCCAAGCAGAGAAUGGACUUGGUAGAGGCAUUUAACCACUCCAGAGGCCCUCAGGUAAUGCUAAUCUCUCUCUUGGCUGGAGGUGUUGGUCUAAACCUGACUGGAGGAAAUCACCUCUUUCUUUUGGACAUGCACUGAGAUAGAGAAAUGUUAUCCAAGAUUUUAAAGUGGAAUCCAUCACUUGAAGAUCAAGCUUGUGACCGAAUUUACCGAGUAGGGCAGCAGAAAGAUGUUGUCAUACACAAAUUUGUUUGUGAGGGAACAGUAGAAGAAAAGAUCUUACAGCUCCAAGAAAAAAAGAAAGAUUUGGCCAAACAAGUUCUAUCAGGGUCUGGAGAAUCUGUCACCAAGCUCACCUUGGCUGACCUCAGAGUCCUUUUUGGCAUCUAACCUCCUGUGGAUAAGGGUUCAGAAUAGCACCAUUGCUGGUUUGUAUUAAGGUCUGGGAAUAACAACCUAACCAUGAGCCUUGAACUCUGUUCUUUGCAUUUCAAUUUCACCGUCAAGCCUUUCACCUUCCUC